rnacentral:rRNA from 1 species
AGUGAACGCUGGCGGCGUGCCUAAUACAUGCAAGUCGAACGAAGUGGCGCACGGGUGAGGAAUAUAUAGUUAAACUGCCCUACACAGAGGAAAAACAGGUGGAAAAGACUGCGAAUACCUCAUAGUGUAGGAUGAGACUAUAUCGUAUCAGCUAGUUGGUAAGGUAAUGGCUUACCAAGGCUAUGACGCGUAACUGGUCUAAGAGGAUGAUCAGUCACAUUGGAACUGAGGCACGGGCCAGACUCCUUCGGGAAGCAGCGGUAAGUGGUAUUACUCAAUGGGCGGCAGCCUACCGCAGCAACGCCUCGUGAAGGAUGUCACUUUUCGGAGCAUAAACUCCUUUUAACAGGAAUGCGGUACCUGAUGAAUAAGCACCGGCUAACUCCGUGCCAGCAGCCGCGGUAAUAC